rnacentral:rRNA from 1 species
UACGAAGGGGGCUAGCGUUGUUCGGAAUUACUGGGCGUAAAGCGCACGUAGGCGGACUACUAAGUCAGGGGUGAAAUCCCGGGGCUCAACCCCGGAACUGCCUUUGAUACUGAUAGUCUCGAGUCCGGAAGAGGUGAGUGGAAUUCCGAGUGUAGAGGUGAAAUUCGUAGAUAUUCGGAGGAACACCAGUGGCGAAGGACGGCCUGC